GUGAAUCAUCGAAUCUUUGAACGAACAUUGCACUCUCUGGUAUUCCGGAGAGCAUGCCUGUUUGAGGGUAAUUAAAAAGAAUCUCAAAUUAUUUUUUUUCGGUUAAAGGACAUGAGUUUUUUGCGCUUAUAGCGGUAGCUUGAAAUAAAUGGUAGCCUCAUUUUAGUCGAGACGCGUAAUAAUAUUAUUUCGUGAAUUCUUUAUCAUGUGACCAUUAAGUUUUGAUGCAUAUAAACUUGGUUUG
rnacentral:misc_RNA from 1 species